rnacentral:lncRNA from 1 species
AUAUAAAAUUUUACUAUACCAUAAUUGAGAGGUAUGUGAAACAACUGGCUUACUCUAGAAUAGUUUUGGAUCAGAAAUCUACCAACAAAUUUAGAAUAUUUUUUCGCAAAUAACAACUACAAACGCUUCCCCAUAUAAUGUAUAUACGUAAACGCGUAGUAUAAUUACGAGCAAUAAUGAAUAUCGAAUUUCACUACAUAUUAAAUUAUCCUUUCUUUUUUGCUCUAGUAAAAUUAAGAGGCAUGUGAAUCAACUGACUACUCUAAAAAAGUUUUGGAUUACAAACCUACGGAACAAUAGUAAACUUAGUAGAUUUUUCGUAACGCUUUUUCAUAGU